GUGGGGAAUAUUGGGCAAUGGGCGAAAGCCUGACCCAGCAACGCCGCGUGAGGGAAGAAGGCCUUCGGGUUGUAAACCUCUGUCCUUGGUGACGAAACAAAUGACGGUAGCCAAGGAGGAAGCCCCGGCUAACUACGUGCCAGCAGCCGCGGUAAUACGGAGGGGGCGAGCGUUGUCCGGAAUUACUGGGCGUAAAGGGUGCGUAGGUGGCCUUUUAAGUUGGAUGUGAAAUACCCGGGCUUAACUUGGGGGGUGCAUCUAAUACUGGAGGGCUAGAGUGCAGGAGAGGGAAGCGGAAUUCCUAGUGUAGCGGUGAAAUGCGUAGAUAUUAGGAGGAACACCAGUGGCGAAGGCGGCUUUCUGGACUGUAACUGACACUGAGGCACGAAAGCGUGGGGAGCAAACAGGAUUAGAAACCCCAGUAGUCC
rnacentral:rRNA from 1 species